CCUACGGGGGGCUGCAGUGGGGAAUAUUGCGCAAUGGGCGAAAGCCUGACGCAGCGACGUCGCGUGAGGGAUGAAGGUCUUCGGAUCGUAAACCUCUGUCAGCAGGGAAGAACGGUCACUGUGCUAAUCAGCAGUGAAUUGACGGUACCUGCAAAGGAAGCACCGGCUAACUCCGUGCCAGCCGCCGCGGGAAUACGGAGGGUGCGAGCGUUAAUCGGAAUUACUGGGCGUAAAGCGCUCGUAGGCGGUAUGUCAAGUCAAGGGUGAAAUCCCCGCGCUCAACGUGGGAACUGCCUUUGAAACUGGCAAACUGGAGUGUGUGAGAGGAUAGUGGAAUUCCAGGGGUAGGAGUGAAAUCCGUAGAUAUAUGGAGGAACAUCAGUGGCGAAGGCGACUAUCUGGCACAUAACUGACGCUGAGGAGCGAAAGCGUGGGUAGCAAACAGGAUUAGAUACCCGUGUAGUC
rnacentral:rRNA from 1 species